AUGAACGCUGGCGGCGUGCCUAAUACAUGCAAGUCGAGCGAACGGACGAGAAGCUUGCUUCUCUGAUGUUAGCGGCGGACGGGUGAGUAACACGUGGAUAACCUACCUAUAAGACUGGGAUAACUUCGGGAAACCGGAGCUAAUACCGGAUGAUAUUUUGAACCGCAUGGUUCAAAAGUGAAAGACGGUCUUGCUGUCACUUAUAGAUGUAUCCGCGCUGCAUUAGCUAGUUGGUAAGGUAACGGCUUACCAAGGCAACGAUGCAUAGCCGACCUGAGAGGGUGAUCGGCCACACUGGAACUGAGACACGGUCCAGACUCCUACGGGAGGCAGCAGUAGGGAAUCUUCCGCAAUGGGCGAAAGCCUGACGGAGCAACGCCGCGUGAGUGAUGAAGGUCUUCGGAUCGUAAAACUCUGUUAUUAGGGAAGAACAUAUGUGUAAGUAACUGUGCACAUCUUGACGGUACCUAAUCAGAAAGCCACGGCUAACUACGUG
rnacentral:rRNA from 1 species